rnacentral:rRNA from 1 species
GAUGAACGCUGGCGGCGUGCCUAAUACAUGCAAGUCGAGCGAACGGACGAGAAGCUUGCUUUUCUGAUGUUAGCGGCGGACGGGUGAGUAACACGUGGAUAACCUACCUAUAAGACUGGGAUAACUUCGGGAAACCGGAGCUAAUACCGGAUAAUAUUUUGAACCGCAUGAUUCAAAAGUGAAAGACGGUCUUGCUGUCACUUAUAGAUGGAUCCGCGCUGCACUAGCUAGUUGGUAAGGUAACGGCUUACCAAGGCAACGAUGCAUAGCCGACCUGAGAGGGUGAUCGGCCACACUGGAACUGAGACACGGUCCAGACUCCUACGGGAGGCAGCAGUAGGGAAUCUUCCGCAAUGGGCGAAAGCCUGACGGAGCAACGCCGCGUGAGUGAUGAAGGUCUUCGGAUCGUAAAACUCUGUUAUUAGGGAAGAACAUAUGUGUAAGUAACUGUGCACAUCUUGACGGUACCUAAUCAGAAAGCCACGGCUAACUACGUG